rnacentral:ribozyme from 15 species
UAAUUCGGGACAAAUUAUUAAAACUGUAAGGGAGAUGAGCGACUAAAUUUAUGAUGGGUAAAAUUGAAAAUGUCAUUCUUUGGGCAGCCCUAUUUUCUUAAUAUCAUCAUACUUGAACAUACAUAAGCAAUAAGAAUAAUGUGUUAACAGUCUCUCGAUUUAAAGUUGAAUCUUGCAAAUAGCUGCAAUCCAAUAUGCACUUUUUGGAGGUAAAUCUUAUUAUUUCAGCAAAAACAUCAUUA